rnacentral:lncRNA from 1 species
CAGAAGCAGCCACAUAUUUGUAGCUAAUUUUAGGUAAGCAAACAUGAAGGGCAUACUGCUCAACAUAAUUUUUAGAGCGCAGCUCUAGGCGCUUGUUCCUGUGGCAAGCGCCGGUGUCAUGCCUUAGCAUCCUCGUAACCGAGCUAAUGAACGAAGCAAAAGGAUGAAAGAGCGAAUGUGAAGAGCGGAUGAAAGAUGGCGAUAGUGAAGAGAUCGUAAGGAGGAAGGUGGUGGCGAAGGAGCGUGCAGCGGGAACCACGAGGCGGAAAGCAGAGAAGGAGGGUAUGGCAAUAAAGGUGCAAGAAAAGCAUAGUGCCGCACACGAUGGACACUGUAGUGACGAUGGCCAUGAGAUGGUGCCAAAGUAGUGCACAUCGUUUGUAUCAAAGCAAAGCACUGCAUGUGAAAAGGUCUCUCUGCGGCAGCUGCUAUGAAUCGCGUGCACAUGUCACGAUUAGCGAGGCAGUUGCACCACUUUUCACUUUGUUCGCACCAUGCCGCAUGAGACAGACUGUCUGCGCCAGCCAAUAUAUUGCGAAAUGAAAACGUCUACAUAGCUGCGCUCAAAUUUUGCAUUAGGGAGUAUCGUAAUCAUAGGUGAAUUUUUUCUUUCAUUAUGUCAUAAUAUGUAAAAUGCAGGCUUGAAGGCAAUUGUGAAUUAAAUGCCUGCAGGUUGGCCAAGAAGAGCCUUGAGCGAGUGACAAGAUUUCAUGAUGGUGGAAUCUCCUGGAUUCAGUCUACCACAGUGAAACUGCUUCUUUUACACUACUUGGAAAAGAAGGAUGCUGAAGCACUGAAGAAAUUGUUACCUCAAGCGGAGAAGCUGGACUUGCAGUCACUCUUGUGUGAAGAAAACAGAGAGCAGCUGAUCUCACUGGGCGUUUUAUUAAUGCCUCAGAAUUAAAAAAGCAUUGAUAUACAUUUUCUGGCAAUAAAUGUUUCCUUUGCUUCAGCUUGCAAUAUAA